AUGUUACUGCUCCAGGACCUCCUCAAGUACCUCCGAUCUCCCCGCUCCCAGCACCGGGGACAUCCACUGCUGCUUUCCACAAUUGCCGUUUUCUUUCUGAUUAACUCCGAAGUGAGAAACAAGAGGGUUUAUGGCUUUGCUGGUCACCGUUUCAAUAACGAUGAUGGACGAUCUUCUGUUCUAUAUAUCAUGUAAAAGAAUUCAGCUUAAAAGUCUACUUGUGUUCACAGCUUGCCUCCUGUCACCUCCCCAAACUCUCCCCUGCUCCACAGGCAUGCACAGUUACAGAGAUUUGGGAUGGUUCAUAUUUGAGAACACCGGCUAAGGAGAGAAUGAUGGUGGCUUAUUUGGACCGAGCCUGCCCUUGCCGUGAAAUGAGGAAAACUGUCAUAUUUAUGAGUCACA
rnacentral:lncRNA from 1 species